rnacentral:rRNA from 1 species
GAUCAUGGCUCAGGAUGAACGCUGGCGGCGUGCCUAACACAUGCAAGUCGAGCGAGAAGUCAUGGAUGGAAUCUUCGGAGGAAAGAAAUGAUGGAAAGCGGCGGACGGGUGAGUAACGCGUAGGUAACCUGCCCCAUACAGAGGGAUAGCCACUGGAAACGGUGAUUAAUACCUCAUGACACUUUCUCUUCGCAUGGAGGGAAGGUCAAAGAUUUAUCGGUAUGGGAUGG